rnacentral:lncRNA from 1 species
UUUGAAGUGGAAGCUUUUAGCUAGAAUGUUUGGAACAUUUCUCAUCAAAAUGAGAAAGAAACAUUCAUGUGAGACAUUUUGCCACACGAAAUAGAUAAUUAUCUAUUUUUGUAUCUAUAGGUCUCUUUGUAUAUCUGUGUAGUUUGACAGGGGAUACUGCAGAUGACCACCCAGUGCUUAUGGUCUUCGCUGGAGACAUGGAAGUUCAUUUUGUUUCCAGACAAAUAUAACUGGGGUGCCCAGAGCUCCCGAAUGCUCAGUGAAUGACUGAUCUGGAAAUUGGUACUCAGUGAUUCGGUAUUCCUUCUCUGCUUCACUCUGGUGUGAAAUUGAAAGGGGAGGAAUUAAUAUAAAACAAUAAAAACUGUUGGCAUUUUGGGAAAUAUGGCUGGCCUUUCAAGUUUGUAAGUUCUGCAGAACACUGCCUUCCUUGCAGUAAUCAACCUUAAGACCUUCCCUCGGAGAAGUAUUUUGAAUUUAUUGCAGUCAGUCGGUACGUCUGUCAUAAAGAUAAGCACGGGAAUUAAAAUACCUAUGAGGGUUAUUAUCUGAUAAAACAUUUUUUGGUUCAAUAAACAGAAUCAGAGUUACUUUCUCUUUGUUUGUCAGCUGAUGGCAGGCUGAGGAGAUAAUGAACACCAGGAAGGAGGCUGAACUGUGAACUUUUGAAUUUAUUGCAUCAAACAAGUUUUGUUCACUAGCCUGAACCUUUCCCCUCCCCCUCAGUUGAAGGCUGGAUUGGAAUUAUUCCUGCAUGCAAGCGUGACGUUUAAGAGUACUCCUUGCAUUCAGAUGUCUGACCACUGGGCCUACCUGUGCAGAGCUACAGGAGGUAUGCAUGAAGACCAGAGGCCCUAACUGGGCUUCUGAGGCCAUAUGCAGUUGCUGGGAUYGUCGUACCUGGAUAAGCUCUCCUUCUCAAUUCGUAAUGAUGUCCAACCGGCAAAUGAUGCUUGCUGUUUUCUAAAGUCAGCUGAUGCAUAUUUACAUUGGUGAAGAAGAGGACAGACUCCGCAGCGUGCAGGACUUGCUUGUGCUCUUUUGUGUGAAGGCUGAGCCCGGCUGGGACUACACCCUGUGCUCACCCCUCAGGAACUUACUAGAUGAAGAAGAAUGGUAAGUCUGACAGUGCACCGGCUGUGACACUAUCUCAGUGUUAAGUGACUCCAAGAUGCCAUACCUCCGUCACAUCCCUGGGACAUCUCUAGACUGGAUAAUCUACAAAAGAAAAAAUGACAGUCCUGUACAGACUCUUAUUUUAACCAUAUGCAGUUAUACAGUUCAUUCCAUAGACUUGGCUGUGGUAUAAGCUACCAGUCACAUUACAGGAGAAGGUUUACCAGUUAUUUGGCCAGAGUAACCAUUUCAGAUGAAAUAUUCCAUCCUGGGUGACUCCAGCUAGAGGACUAGGCUCAGUUUGCACUGAUGAGGUUAGCCCUCGGGCCACCCAGGUCCCUCGGCCUGCUAGCGCAGUCKGUGGGAGUGAAGCAUUAAAGCAAUCA